GACGAACGCUGGCGGCGUGCUUAACACAUGCAAGUCGAACGGAAAGGCCCUGCUUUUGUGGGGUGCUCGAGUGGCGAACGGGUGUGUAACACGUGAGUAACCUGCCCUUGACUUUGGGAUAACUUCAGGAAGCUGGGGCUAAUACCGGAUAGGAGCUCCUGCUGCAUGGUGGGGGUUGGAAAGUUUCGGCGGUUGGGGAUGGACUCGCGGCUUAUCAGCUUGUUGGUGGGGUAGUGGCUUACCAAGGCUUUGACGGGUAGCCGGCCUGAGAGGGUGACCGGCCACAUUGGGACUGAGAUACGGCCCAGACUCCUACGGGAGGCAGCAGUGGGGAAUAUUGCACAAUGGGCGGAAGCCUGAUGCAGCAACGCCGCGUGCGGGAUGACGGCCUUCGGGUUGUAAACCGCUUUCGCCUGUGACGAAGCGUGAGUGACGGUAAUGGGUAAAGAAGCACCGGCUAACUACGUG
rnacentral:rRNA from 1 species